UUAGAGCCUCUAGGAAUGGGUUUUGGCGGGGAAACGAAAAUGCAGUCCAAAUCUUCAUGCAGAUCCUUUGUUUUGGUUAAACUGACCCAUUGAAUUCGGAUCAUUUAUAAUAACCUAUUUCCUCAGACCUUUUUCUUAUUUGAUCAUUACAAGUCGCCUUUUCCUCUCUCUAACCUCCUCGGUUCUCUCCCACUCUGAAGAUCAAAUCUUUUCACAAGCAAUACUGACCUUCAAUCUUCAGUGGAUUCAUCAUAAAACGAUUCACACUAUUGAAGAAUCACCAUUACAAUCUACAGUAUGGCUUUUUACAAGUCUAUGUCCGCACUAACUAAAGAAUUCUAGGUUAUACCACUUCAGUUUUGUAAGUUAUGGUUAUCUAAUGCCGGUGGUGAUAAUAUUGUGGUUAUAAAGUGCAUAAAUGAAAAGGAAUGGAAUGUAAAGUUUUCGAAGAACAAUGGUGCUUUUGCUUUUAUGGAAGGAUGGUCAAAGGUUGUGGCUGACCUUUCUUUAACUGAGGGAUAUAUACUUCUUUUCAGGCAACUUAAUCCCUUUAAUUAUCUACUCACACCUUUCUUCAAGAAAACACCUUAUCCAUGUUGUGAUCCAGAGCUCAGUUUGUUUACAUCGAUCUCCUCUUUGCCCAACAUAGACUUCA